CAGUCGCCGCGGUAAAACGAAGGGUGCAAGCGUUACUCGGAAUUACUGGGCGUAAAGCGUGCGUAGGUGGUGGUUUAAGUCCGUUGUGAAAGCCCUGGGCUCAACCUGGGAAUUGCAGUGGAUACUGGGUCACUAGAGUGUGGUAGAGGAUAGUGGAAUUUCCGGUGUAGCAGUGAAAUGCGUAGAGAUCGGAAGGAACAUCUGUGGCGAAGGCGACUAUCUGGGCCAACACUGACACUGAGGCACGAAAGCGUGGGGAGCAAACAGGAUUAGAUACCCCCGUAGUCCCUGUCUCUUAUAU
rnacentral:rRNA from 1 species